rnacentral:rRNA from 1 species
AUUGAACGCUGGCGGCAGGCCUAACACAUGCAAGUCGAGCGGUGGGGCGGACGGGGGAGGAAUGUCGGGGAAUCUGCCGGGAAGUGGGGGAUAACGUGGGGAAACGGGCGCUAAAACCGCAUUAUAGCAGAUGAGACGAGGUCGGAUUAGCUAGUUGGUGGGGUAAAGGCCUACAAAGGCGACGAUCCGUAACUGGUCUGAGAGGAUGAUCAGUCACACUGGAACUGAGACACGGACCAGACUCCUACGGGAGGCAGCAGUGGGGAAUAUGGGACAAUGGGCGAAAGCCUGAUCCAGCCAGGCCGCGGGGGUGAAGAAGGUCUUCGGAUUGUAAAGCUCUGUUAUUUGGGAGGCGGUACCAACCGAAUAAGCACCGGCUAACUUCGUGCCAGCCGCCGCGGUAAUUC